rnacentral:rRNA from 1 species
GAUGAACGCUGGCGGCGUGCCUAAUACAUGCAAGUCGAGCGAACGGACGAGAAGCUUGCUUCUCUGAUGUUAGCGGCGGACGGGUGAGUAACACGUGGAUAACCUACCUAUAAGACUGGGAUCACUUCGGGAAACCGGAGCUAAUACCGGAUGAUAUUUUGAACCGCAUGGUUCAAAAGUGAAAGACGGUCUUGCUGUCACUUAUAGCUGGAUCCGCGCUGCAUUAGCUAGUUGGUAAGGUAACGGCUUACCAAGGCAACGAUGCAUAGCCGACCUGAGAGGGGGAUCGGCCACACUGGAACUGAGACACGGUCCAUGCUCCUACGGGAGGCAGCAGUAGGGAAUCUUCCGCAAUGGGCGAAAGCCUGACGGAGCAACGCCACGUGAGUGAUGAAGGUCUUCGGAUCGUAAAACUCUGUUAUUAGGGAAGAACAGAUGUGUAAGUAACUGUGCACAUCUUGACGGUACCUAAUCAGAAAGCCACGGCUAACUACGUG